rnacentral:rRNA from 1 species
CCUACUGGAGGCAGCAGUGGGGAAUCUUGGUCAAUGGACUAGAGUCUGAUCCAGCCAAGUAGCGUGAAGGAUUACUGCCCUAUGGUUUUUAAACUUCUUUUAUAUGGGAAUAAAAUGUUCCACGUGUGGGAUUUUGUAUGUACCAUAUGAAUAAGGAUCGGCUAACUCCGUGCCAGCAGCCGCGGUAAUACGGAGCAUCCGAGCGUUAUCCGGAUUUAUUGGGUUUAAAGGGAGCGUAGGUGGAUUGUUAAGUCAGUUGUGAAAGUUUGCGGCUCAACCGUAAAAUUGCAGUUGAAACUGGUAGUCUUGAGUACAGUAGAGGUGGGCGGAAUUCGUGGGGUAGCGGUGAAAUGCUUAGAUAUCACGAAGAACUCCGAGUGCGAAGGCAGCUCACUGGACUGCAACUGACACUGAGGCUCGAAAGUGUGGGUAUCAAACAGGAUUAGAUACCCUUGUAGUC